AAUCUGGGAGGACCAUCUCCUAAGGCUAAAUACUCUCUAGUGACCGAUAGUGAACCAGUACCGUGAGGGAAAGGUGAAAAGCACCCCGGAAGGGGAGUGAAAUAGAACCUGAAACCGUGUGCUUACAAGUAGUCAGAGCCCGUUAAUGGGUGAUGGCGUGCCUUUUGUAGAAUGAACCGGCGAGUUACGAUUUGAUGCAAGGUUAAGCAGUAAAUGUGGAGCCGUAGCGAAAGCGAGUCUGAAUAGGGCGUUUAGUAUUUGGUCGUAGACCCGAAACCAGGUGAUCUACCCUUGGUCAGGUUGAAGUUCAGGUAACACUGAAUGGAGGACCGAACCGACUUACGUUGAAAAGUGAGCGGAUGAACUGAGGGUAGCGGAGAAAUUCCAAUCGAACCUGGAGAUAGCUGGUUCUCUCCGAAAUAGCUUUAGGGCUAGCCUCAAGUGAUGAUUAUUGGAGGUAGAGCACUGUUUGGACGAGGGGCCCCUCUCGGGUUACCGAAUUCAGACAAACUCCGAAUGCCAAUUAAUUUAACUUGGGAGUCAGAACAUGGGUGAUAAGGUCCGUGUUCGAAAGGGAAACAGCCCAGACCACCAGCUAAGGUCCCAAAAUAUAUGUUAAGUGGAAAAGGAUGUGGCGUUGCCCAGACAACUAGGAUGUUGGCUUAGAAGCAGCCAUCAUUUAAAGAGUGCGUAAUAGCUCACUAGUCGAGUGACACUGCGCCGAAAAUGUACCGGGGCUAAACAUAUUACCGAAGCUGUGGAUUGUCCUUUGGACAAUGGUAGGAGAGCGUUCUAAGGGCGUUGAAGCAUGAUCGUAAGGACAUGUGGAGCGCUUAGAAGUGAGAAUGCCGGUGUGAGUAGCGAAAGACGGGUGAGAAUCCCGUCCACCGAUUGACUAAGGUUUCCAGAGGAAGGCUCGUCCGCUCUGGGUUAGUCGGGUCCUAAGCUGAGGCCGACAGGCGUAGGCGAUGGAUAACAGGUUGAUAUUCCUGUACCACCUAUA
rnacentral:rRNA from 1 species